rnacentral:rRNA from 1 species
GAAACCCGGUGAUCUAGCCAUGGGCAGGUUGAAGGUUGGGUAACACUAACUGGAGGACCGAACCGACUAAUGUUGAAAAAUUAGCGGAUGACUUGUGGCUGGGGGUGAAAGGCCAAUCAAACCGGGAGAUAGCUGGUUCUCCCCGAAAGCUAUUUAGGUAGCGCCUCGUGAAUUCAUCUCCGGGGGUAGAGCACUGUUUCGGCAAGGGGGUCAUCCCGACUUACCAACCCGAUGCAAACUGCGAAUACCGGAGAAUGUUAUCACGGGAGACACACGGCGGGUGCUAACGUCCGUCGUGAAGAGGGAAACAACCCAGACCGCCAGCUAAGGUCCCAAAGUCAUGGUUAAGUGGGAAACGAUGUGGGAAGGCCCAGACAGCCAGGAUGUUGGCUUAGAAGCAGCCAUCAUUUAAAGAAAGCGUAAUAGCUCACUGGUCGAGUCGGCCUGCGCGGAAGAUGUAACGGGGCUAAACCAUGCACCGAAGCUGCGGCAGCGACACUAUGUGUUGUUGGGUAGGGGAGCGUUCUGUAAGCCUGUGAAGGUGGCCUGUGAGGGUUGCUGGAGGUAUCAGAAGUGCGAAUGCUGACAUAAGUAACGAUAAAGCGGGUGAAAAGCCCGCUCGCCGGAAGACCAAGGGUUCCUGUCCAACGUUAAUCGGGGCAGGGUGAGUCGACCCCUAAGGCGAGGCCGAAAGGCGUAGUCGAUGGGAAACAGGUUAAUAUUCCUGUACUUGGUGUUACUGCGAAGGGGGGACGGAGAAGGCUAUGUUGGCCGGGCGACGGUUGUCCCGGUUUAAGCGUGUAGGCUGGUUUUCCAGGCAAAUCCGGAAAACCAAGGCUGAGGCGUGAUGACGAGGCACUACGGUGCUGAAGCGACAAAUGCCCUGCUUCCAGGAAAAGCCUCUAAGCAUCAGGUAACAUCAAAUCGUACCCCAAACCGACACAGGUGGUCAGGUAGAGAAUACCAAGGCGCUUGAGAGAACUCGGGUGAAGGAACUAGGCAAAAUGGUGCCGUAACUUCGGGAGAAGGCACGCUGAUAUGUAGGUGAAGCGACUUGCUCGUGGAGCUGAAAUCAGUCGAAGAUACCAGCUGGCUGCAACUGUUUAUUAAAAACACAGCACUGUGCAAACACGAAAGUGGACGUAUACGGUGUGACGCCUGCCCGGUGCCGGAAGGUUAAUUGAUGGGGUUAGCGGCAACGCGAAGCUCUUGAUCGAAGCCCCGGUAAACGGCGGCCGUAACUAUAACGGUCCUAAGGUAGCGAAAUUCCUUGUCGGGUAAGUUCCGACCUGCACGAAUGGCGUAAUGAUGGCCAGGCUGUCUCCACCCGAGACUCAGUGAAAUUGAACUCGCUGUGAAGAUGCAGUGUACCCGCGGCAAGACGGAAAGACCCCGUGAACCUUUACUAUAGCUUGACACUGAACAUUGAGCCUUGAUGUGUAGGAUAGGUGGGAGGCUUUGAAGUGUGGACGCCAGUCUGCAUGGAGCCGACCUUGAAAUACCACCCUUUAAUGUUUGAUGUUCUAACGUUGGCCCGUAAUCCGGGUUGCGGACAGUGUCUGGUGGGUAGUUUGACUGGGGCGGUCUCCUCCUAAAGAGUAACGGAGGAGCACGAAGGUUGGCUAAUCCUGGUCGGACAUCAGGAGGUUAGUGCAAUGGCAUAAGCCAGCUUGACUGCGAGCGUGACGGCGCGAGCAGGUGCGAAAGCAGGUCAUAGUGAUCCGGUGGUUCUGAAUGGAAGGGCCAUCGCUCAACGGAUAAAAGGUACUCCGGGGAUAACAGGCUGAUACCGCCCAAGAGUUCAUAUCGACGGCGGUGUUUGGCACCUCGAUGUCGGCUCAUCACAUCCUGGGGCUGAAGUAGGUCCCAAGGGUAUGGCUGUUCGCCAUUUAAAGUGGUACGCGAGCUGGGUUUAGAACGUCGUGAGACAGUUCGGUCCCUAUCUGCCGUGGGCGCUGGAGAACUGAGGGGGGCUGCUCCUAGUACGAGAGGACCGGAGUGGACGCAUCACUGGUGUUCGGGUUGUCAUGCCAAUGGCACUGCCCGGUAGCUAAAUGCGGAAGAGAUAAGUGCUGAAAG